ensembl:antisense Gm20406 predicted gene 20406
AGCGUCUCCACUCGUGAUGAGACCGCUUGCUCGUGGGCCUCUGCCCUCUGCUCCAGCUCCACAGUGGAAGCCACCAAAAAGAAUUAGCUGUCGCUUCCAGGCCACCAUCCGAUGCCCGCUUCGACCUGAAGGACCCCCUGUUGAUCUAAAAUGAAGAGGAAUAAAAAAACAUUACAUUAGGGCUGGAGAGAUGACUCAGCAGUUGAGAGCACGGACUGCUCUUCCAGAGGUCUGGAGUUCAAUCCCCAGCAACCACAUUGUGGCUCACAACCAUCUGUAAUGGAUUCUGAUGCCCUAUUCUACUGUGUAUGAAGACAGCGACAGUACACUCACAUACAAUAAAUAAAUAAAUAAAUCUUUAAAAAGUAAAAAAAAAAAAAAA